rnacentral:misc_RNA from 1 species
GCUUAAAGCACAACCUUCACCACGGUAUGUAGUCAGUUUUGCUAAUGCAAAAGACUUUUCAUGCCACAUUGCAGUGGCAUGGAUCUAUGGACAUUCUUAGCAUUGCAAUUGGUCAUUUUCUUUUAUUUAUGGAUGUUUACAUUUCACUUUUACCUUAAUCUUUUCCUCCUUUUCAAUAUUGAGUGCUUAUCUACUUACCAUUGGCAGACUCACUUUCUAGGAAAAGGAUAAAUCAAACAAACUAGGGAAAAGUUGGAAAAUGUCUACUUAUUUGCAGUGUUGGAUGUAUAGACAAAUUAUUUUUGCGCAU